UCCGAGUUAACCCCGGCGGUCUCCCGUGAGUCCCCAACUGAAUGCUGGCAACACGGGAUAAGGGUUGCGCUCGUUGCGGGACUUAACCCAACAUCUCACGGCCCGAGCUGACGACAGCCAUGCAGCACCUGUGCGGGCUCCCGUAGGAGGACCGUGUUUCCACGGCUUCACCCCGCAUGUCAAGCCCUGGUAAGGUUCUUCGCGUUGCGUCGAAUUAAGCCACAUGCUCCGCCGCUUGUGCGGGCCCCCGUCAAUUCCUUUGAGUUUUAGCCCUGCGGCCGUACUCCCCAGGCGGGGCACUUAAUGCGUUAGCUACGGCACGGAACCCGUUGAUAAGGCCCCACACCUAGUGCCCAACGUUUACGGCGUGGACUAC
rnacentral:misc_RNA from 1 species